AAUUUGAUAUGACUGAAAAUUAAGCUCUAGAAUUGGAAUGAUACAUAGAAGAUUAGCGUAGCCCUUGCACAAGGAUGACACCAAUUGAAAAAUAGUCAACUUUU